rnacentral:sRNA from 22 species
UGCAUUUAUUCUUACACAAUACGAGUAAUAUUAUGGUUUUCAUCACAAAACACCACACAUUUUGCGUCAUUAUUCACUAUUUAU